UGUGGAUACAAAUGAAAGUCCAAAGAUUUUAGUCAACUCCGAGUCUUGCAAUAUGGUGUGUAGAUAUAAAUCAAAGACUUAAGUCAACUCUGAUUAAUGUCAAGCAUUUGUUCUUUGCAGGUUUUGUUUCAAAUUCACAGCUUGCCAUCUUCAUCUUCAUGUCGACGAGUGAGUGGAGGAUCAUCCACCUGGAGCAGGGAUGGGAUUUCAUGCAGAAGGGCAUCACCAAGCUCAAGAUAAUUCUAGAAGAAGGCUUGCCUGAACCUCACUUCAGCUCCGAGGACUACAUGAUGCUUUACACAACCAUCUAUAUCAUGUGCACCCAAAGGCCUCCUCAUGACUAUUCCCAACAACUCUAUGACAAGUACAAGGAGGUAUUUGAAGAGUACAUCCAAUCAACGGUAUUACCAUCUUUGAGAGAGAAGCAUGAUGAAUUUAUGUUGAUAGAACUUGUAAAGAGGUGGGCAAACCAUAAAAUUAUGGUUAGGUGGCUUUCUCGUUUCUUUCAUUUUUUGGAUUGCCACUUUAUUGCCCGGAGGUCACUCCCACGCCUUAAUGAAGUUGGCUUAACUUGCUUCCGUGAUUUGGUUUACAAGGAGCUAAAUGGGAAAGUUAGAGAUGCAGUUAUUUCUAUUAUUGAUUAAGAACGUGAAGGAGAGCAGAUUGAUCGGACUUUAUUAAAGAAUGUAUUAUACGUAUUUGUUGAAAUUGGGAUGGGGAAAAUGGAUCACUAUGAGAAUGAUUUUGAAUCUGCAAUGCUUAAAGACACCUCUGCUUAUUACUCUCAAAAGGCUUCUAAUUGGAUCCUAGAAGAUUCUUGUCCUGAUUACAUGCUCAAGGCUGAGGAGUGCUUAAAACGGGAGAAAGAUAGAGUUGCUCAGUAUUUGCACUUCAGUAGCGAGCCAAAGUUGUUAGAGAAAGUUCAACAUGAGCUGCUAUCCAUGUACGCAAACCAACUCCUCCAGAAAGAGCACUCUGGAUGUCAUGCUUUGCUUAGAGAUGGCAAGGUUGAAGAUCUGUCACGGAUGUUCAGGCUAUUUUCUAAAGUACCUGAAGGCUUAGAUGCUGUUUCCAGUAUAUUUAAGCAGCAUGUUUUCACUGAAGGUAUGGUAUUGGUUAAGCAGGCUGAAGAUGCAGCUAGUACCAAAAGGCAGAUAAAAAGGAUAUUGUUUGUCUGAAAAGUUUGAAUUUAUGAAUAUAAUUGCAAUUGUGGAAACUGAAGCUGGUCUGGUUGUUCAGGAUUUUGUCCGGAAAGUGAUUGAGCUGCAU